CACAAGGAUUCAGGGGAUGCAGGAUGAGGGCAGCAGGCAGAGGAAGAGCCCACAGAGGAAGUUGUCUUUUGCACUAAGUAACUGUUUUAGUUUCAACCGAGGACUGUGUUAAUUGCAAUUAUGCAAUGACUGCCUAUGUUCCCGUUUUC
ensembl:snoRNA snoRNA:Me28S-C2789 snoRNA:Me28S-C2789